GUGCUCAUUUUGGCAGCACACAGACUAAAACUGGAAUGAUACAGAGAAGAAUCAGCAUGGCCCCUGAGCAAGAAUGACACACAAGUUUAUGAAGCAUCCCAUAUUUUU
ensembl:snRNA U6 U6 spliceosomal RNA